rnacentral:ncRNA from 13 species
GCCCCCGUUGUGUAGCGGCCUAGCACGCCGCCCUCUCAAGGCGGUAGCGCCGGUUCGAAUCCGGUCGGGGGUA